GCCACGGUGGUCGCGCGGUUAGAACGCUGGCCUUGUAAUCCUGGGGUCUCGGGUUCGAUUCCCGGCUGUGCCC
rnacentral:tRNA from 1 species